CUACGUGCCAGCAGCCGCGGUAAUACGGAAGGUCCGGGCGUUAUCCGGAUUUAUUGGGUUUAAAGGGAGCGUAGGCCGGAGAUUAAGUGUAUUGUGAAAUGUAGACGCUCAACGUCUGACUUGCAGCGCAUACUGGUUUCCUUGAGUACGCACAACGUUGGCGGAAUUCGUCGUGUAGCGGUGAAAUGCUUAGAUAUGACGAAGAACUCCGAUUGCGAAGGCAGCUGACGGGAGCGCAACUGACGCUUAAGCUCGAAGGUGCGGGUAUCAAACAGGAUUAGAUACCCUGGUAGUCCGCACAGUAAACGAUGGAUGCCCGCUGUUGGUACCUGGUAUCAGCGGCUAAGCGAAAGCAUUAAGCAUCCCACCUGGGGAGUACGCCGGCAACGGUGAAACUCAAAGGAAUUGACGGGGGCCCGCACAAGCGGAGGAACAUGUGGCUUAAUUCGAUGAUACGCGAGGAACCUUACCCGGGCUUGA
rnacentral:rRNA from 1 species